AUUGAACGCUGGCGGCAUGCCUUACACAUGCAAGUCGAACGGCAGCACGGGAGCAAUCCUGGUGGCGAGUGGCGAACGGGUGAGUAAUAUAUCGGAACGUGCCCAGUCGUGGGGGAUAACGUAGCGAAAGCUACGCUAAUACCGCAUACGAUCUAUGGAUGAAAGCGGGGGAUCGCAAGACCUCGCGCGAUUGGAGCGGCCGAUAUCAGAUUAGGUAGUUGGUGAGGUAAAGGCUCACCAAGCCGACGAUCUGUAGCUGGUCUGAGAGGACGACCAGCCACACUGGGACUGAGACACGGCCCAGACUCCUACGGGAGGCAGCAGUGGGGAAUUUUGGACAAUGGGCGCAAGCCUGAUCCAGCAAUGCCGCGUGCAGGAUGAAGGCCUUCGGGUCGUAAACUGCUUUUGUACGGAACGAAACGGUCCUGGUUAAUACCCGGGGCUAAUGACGGUACCGUAAGAAUAAGCACCGGCUAACUACGUGCCAGCCGCCGCCGUAAAAC
rnacentral:rRNA from 1 species